GGUAUGAUCAUGACUACUUUGAGUACGGAUAUCAAAAUCUUGUACUUCCUCCGUUUCCAUAAUUCUUGCCUUAAACUUGCUCAAAAAUGGACGUAUUUAUUUUUAAAAGUUGUCUAGAUAAAUGUAAAAUUUCGACAAGAAUUAUGGAUACUUUUAUGUGUUUAUACUAGCUCACACUGUAUAAAAGUAACUAAUGAUUCGCAAUUGAUUGGAUCCCAUGCAUUGAUUUGAUCGACCAGCAAUACGACGUACCUACGCACGAAAAGAAAUUAAUUGGAUCAAACAAACAUUUGGCUACCUUAAUCGAGGAGUGCCCGUCUAAGUUGAAAUCCAAACCAUUUAGCGAAACAAACAAAAUAUUUUUAUUCUAUUUAUUGUUUAGUUCAAAAAAAAAUUAGAACAUGUUUUUGUUUUAUUAGGACAAGAGAAAGAAAAAAAAAAAGAAUGCCAGUAAUUCUCGUUCGCGGGGCGUAGCAGGGAUCAACAAGACCCAGCACAAGCCCUUAAUUAGAUACCGUCCCAGGCCUUCCUUGUCAAAUUUCGGGCAGGUUGCGGCCCAGAUAAAGUCGCAGACAGCGUGUGGCCCAGCCCAACAAUCCCAGCCCAGACCAAGCUUAUGUACUUGUAAUGGCUCCAUCACCAACAUGGGCGUACUGGGAACAACAAGACCCAACAGCCCUUAAUUAACUACUCCCAGGCCUUCGUAUAAAAUUUCAGCCUGGUCGCAGCCCAGAUCAAGUGCAGACAGCUUGUGGCCCAACCCAGCAAUCUCCCACAAGAAACACAAAGCAAAAUCUUUUGUCAGAUGGAACGGCGUUGUAGUACGUGGCUCCAUCACCCAUAAUGGACUCCUUAGCAGACAGUGAUCGUCGUACGUUGUGAGCAUCCACGUGAUGCACGGCUCGAAUGGACCCAAGCCUGUCACGUUGUCCAUGUUUAAUUAAACCCCCGCCGGUGAAACGUCAAAGAAACAAAACCUAGCUACUAGUUCCCAUGACUAUAUACGAUGAUCAGGACAUCCACAGGCCCCGGUCAAUGUGUCUCGGAUAAGGAAAAAAAUGUCAUUUCCCGUGCGUUGCCGUGAACAGUUCUAUUUGCGCAUCUGAAC
rnacentral:lncRNA from 1 species